rnacentral:rRNA from 1 species
GACGAACGCUGGCGGCGUGCUUAACACAUGCAAGUCGAACGGAAAGACCCUGCUUUUGUGGGGUGCUCGAGUGGCGAACGGGUGAGUAACACGUGAGUAACCUGCCCUUGACUUUGGGAUAACUUCAGGAAACUGGGGCUAAUACCGGAUAGGAGCUCCUGCUGCAUGGUGGGGGUUGGAAAGUUUCGGCGGUUGGGGAUGGACUCGCGGCUUAUCAGCUUGUUGGUGGGGUAGUGGCUUACCUAGGCUUUGACGGGUAGCCGGCCUGAGAGGGUGACCGGCCACAUUGGGACUGAGAUACGGCCCAGACUCCUACGGGAGGCAGCAGUGGGGAAUAUUGCACAAUGGGCGGAAGCCUGAUGCAGCAACGCCGCGUGCGGGAUGACGGCCUUCGGGUUGUAAACCGCUUUCGCCUGUGACGAAGCGUGAGUGACGGUAAUGGGUAAAGAAGCACCGGCUAACUACGUG